rnacentral:tRNA from 1 species
GGUAUAGCGCAGUCUGGUAGCGCACCUGCUUUGGGAGCAGGGGGUCGUGGGUUCGAAUCCCCCUACC